AUUGAACGCUAGCGGGAUGCUUUACACAUGCAAGUCGAACGCGUGGCGGACGGGUGAGUAAUAUAUCGGAACGUGCCCAGUAGCGGGGGAUAACUACUCGAAAGAGUGUCUAAUACCGCAUACUAUUGUAGCGGCCGAUAUCGGAUUAGCUAGUUGGUGGGGUAAAGGCUCACCAAGGCAACGAGCCGUAGCUGGUUUGAGAGGACGACCAGCCACACUGGGACGGAGACACGGCCCAGACUCCUACGGGAGGCAGCAGUGGGGAAUUUUGGACAAUGGGGGAAACCCUGAUCCAGCCAUCCCGCGUGUAUGAGAAGGCCUUCGGGUUGUAAAGUACUUUCAGUCGGGAGGCGUUACCGACAGAAGAAGCACCGGCUAACUCCGUGCCAGCCGCCGCGGUAAUAC
rnacentral:rRNA from 1 species